UACGAAGGGGGCUAGCGUUGUUCGGAAUUACUGGGCGUAAAGGGCGCGUAGGCGGCUUCGCUAGUCGGGCGUGAAAUGCCUGGGCUUAACCCGGGAAUUGCGUUCGAUACUUCGAGGCUAGAGUGUGGGAGAGGUUGGUGGAAUUCCCAGUGUAGAGGUGAAAUUCGUAGAUAUUGGGAAGAGCACCGGUGGCGAAGGCGGCCAACUGGACCACAACUGACGCUGAUGCACGAAAGCUAGGGGAGCAAACAGG
rnacentral:rRNA from 1 species